AUUGAACGCUGGCGGCAGGCUUAACACAUGCAAGUCGAGCGGGGGAAGGUAGCUUGCUACUGGACCUAGUGGCGGACGGGUGAGUAACGCGUGGGUAACCUGCCUCGUACAGGGGGAUAACAGUUAGAAAUGACUGCUAAUACCGCAUAACCCGCUAAGGUCGCAUGACCUAGACGGAAAAGAUUUAUCGGUACGAGAUGGACCCGCGUCUGAUUAGCUAGUUGGUGAGGUAACGGCUCACCAAGGCGACGAUCAGUAGCCGGCCUGAGAGGGUGACCGGCCACAUUGGGACUGAGACACGGCCCAA
rnacentral:rRNA from 1 species